rnacentral:lncRNA from 1 species
CAAACCGCGAUUACAGAGAGUAAACAUCCACAAAGCCGAUCGUCGGGAUUUAUCCCUCGCUGAAUCAGAACAUCGAAAACCUUCACAACAUCGUCGAUUCUCUUGGCUUUCCCAAAGCAUUGGAUCAAACAGGUACAGCUCAUCACAUUCGGUUCAACGUUAUUGUCCAGCAUUGAAUAAAAAACUUCCAAUGCUUUAUCUCCCAUGCCGCUGUUUGUGUAGAUAUUAACCAUCGCAGUGUAACUCCAACUAUCUGGAACGCAACGGCCAGACUUUUUCAUGUCCUCAAACAAACUCUCGGCUUCCUUCACCAUCCUAAGAUCGGCGCACAUGCUU